CAGUGCCACGGAAGAACCCAAUCUGGGACUUAAGCUGGGAUGCAGAACACCGAGGUGCAGUUUCCCAGCUCUGCUACAGCCAUCAUAUAACACCUUGAGCAAAUCACUCUGCCUCCAUUCCCUUCUUUAACAAUGGGAAAAUAAUUUCUUUCACCAUUCUUUAUCAGUUCAUUAAUUCAGUGGGGCAGCAAAUAUGUCAUAUAGCCUAAUUGUCACAUGCUUAACGCAGAAGGAUCCUAAUUUUGUAGGACUUCGCUUAGAUACCUACAGACCCUAGUACUUCUAUACUCAUCAUCAUUACUACAGAUCUUCGUAACAGCUAUAUGCGGAGUAUAUAUAAAUUUGACCGAGAAUCACCGACGCUGAAAAACCGGGAUUUUACAACUAACUGAACAAGUUUGCCCAUAAUAAUAAUAUGCUGUGAGAAUGUUCCUCAGUACAACUAUGUGUCUCAAUUAUAUUAAUCUAUUCCUCAGAUUUAAAAACUUAAUUAAAGCAACCAUUGAACAC